rnacentral:rRNA from 1 species
UACGUAGGGUGCGAGCGUUAAUCGGAAUUACUGGGCGUAAAGCGUGCGCAGGCGGUUUUGUAAGACAGAUGUGAAAUCCCCGGGCUCAACCUGGGAACUGCGUUUGUGACUGCAAGACUUGAGUGCGGCAGAGGGGGGUAGAAUUCCACGUGUAGCAGUGAAAUGCGUAGAGAUGUGGAGGAAUACCGAUGGCGAAGGCAGCCCCCUGGGUCGACACUGACGCUCAUGCACGAAAGCGUGGGGAGCAAACAGG